rnacentral:rRNA from 1 species
AUGACUUAUAAUGGCGACGAUUACAAUGGAUCUAGGAUCGUGAGCAGAGCAUGUGAACUUCGAGAUGUGGUGAAAGGUAUGUUGUCACAGAUGGACCCAUCAUUGGUAUCCUUUUGUGAUAAAAUUGCUGCACAAGGGGGACCAAUGCAGGCUAUGGAUGAUGAGGAUAGCUCCAUUCUCCAAGCGCCGCUUGUUGUUCAGUUAGUUUCUGUUACUAGAACAAGUGCAAGGCUUCGUAAUGUACAACCAGAAGUUGAUCUGUCAAGAAGUUAUGAGGUGCUAAAGCGGCACAAGAAAAGCACCAAAAACGAACAUGGCACUGCUGCCAAAGAAUCGACAGCAAGAGAUGGAAAGUCUCCUGGUGAUGUAGAUCUGUCAAAGCCAACUUCCCCAGAGGAAGCUCCAAAAGGACCACAUUCAAAUGGCCCUUUGAAAGAAGCUGACAAAGCACCAGAUGAAGCACCUCCAACACUACCUGGUUCUCCUCCCGGCCCAAUGGAGACUGACAACGGCGAAGAUUCUGCCAUGCCUACCAGCGAUGACAUGCUUGAACAACUGGAAGGUGUGAAACAGCGCUUCAUGGAGCUCACCGUGGGCUACGGGGUGCCGCAGCUCGAGAGGCUCUACUCGCGGAUAAUGAAAGGCGCGAUAGAGUUGACAGGAAUAAGAGGUUUUACUGGUUUUCCCUGUGUACAUUCUGUUGUCUGUUGGAGCAACAACCCUGAGGAGCUGUCCAUGCCUCCUGAUGUAGUGAUGUAA